rnacentral:rRNA from 1 species
GAGAGUUAAACAGUACGUGAAAUUGUUGAAAGGGAAACGAUUGAAGUCAGUCAUACCAACGGGAAAUCAACCUUUUGAGUUUGGUCUCGUGGGUUUUGAAGAGUUUAAAAGCCUUCGGAUUUUCGAGAUUGGGUUCUUCUGGUGUACUUUCUCGUACGGUUAGUCAACAUCGGUUUUGAAUGUCAUAAAAUGACUGGAGGAAUGUGGCUUCGAUCUCGUAUUGAAGUGUUAUAGCCUUUGGUAUAUGUGAUGUUCGAGUCCGAGGAUUGCAACGGAUACCCUUCUGGGCUAUUCGUCUGAUCUCUGAAACGUUGCCUUGAUGUCGAAAGCUUGCUUAUGAUGUUAGGGUAUUACGAUCAAAAGGUUAGAACGGAUUAAAUUCGUUAAGGAUGUUGACGUAAUGACUUUAAACGA